rnacentral:lncRNA from 1 species
CCCUUUUCAAGGAUGUAGUGUCCUUCUUUGUCUCUCUUAAUCAGUAUUGGUUUGAAAUCCACUUGAUCUGCAAAGAGGAUAGCUACUUCUGCUAUUUUUGGGUUCUCAUUGCAUGGAAUAUUGUUUUCCACCCUUUAACUUUCAGUCUAUGAGUUUCAUUUUGAAUUAAGUGUGUUUCUUGUAUACAGCAUAUUGUUGGAUUUUGCUUCUCAACCCAUUCUGCCAGUCUAUUUCUUUUGAUUGGUGAAUUGAGACCAUUAACAUUGAUGGUUAUAACUGAUACAUAUUGACUUAUCAUUGUCAUGACUUUUUCUUUUUGUUCCAUUCUCCCUCUUUAGAUUUAAUUUCUUGUCGCACCUGAUGGAUUCAUUCUACUGUGCUUCCUGGGCUUGUGAUCCUCAUUGUCUUUUCCUAGGAUAUUGUCUAAAAAUUUUUGCAGUGCUGGUUUGGUAUUCAUGAAGUUCCUAAGGUGCUCUUUGUCAUGAAAUUAUCUUAUUUCUCCAUCAAUUUUGAAAGAUAGUUUUGUAGGGUACAUCAAUCUGGGCUGGAGGCUGUUUUCCUUUAGGGUUUGGAAUAUGUCACUCCAAGCUCUUCUUGCCUUGAUGGUUUGCGUUGAGAAGUCUGCUGUGAUUCUGAUAGGCUUUCCUUUGUAUGUGAUUUGUUUCUUUUCUCUAACUGCUUGUAGAACUUUGUUCUUCUGUUGGGUUUCUGGAAUCUUAACUAUUAUAUGCCUAUGUGUAGAUUUUUUUUGAUCAAGGCUAUGUGGUGUCCUAUAUGCCUCACUUAUCUGUAUGUCAAGCUCUUUUCCCCUGCUUGGGAAGUUUUCUGCCAUCACUUCUGUGAACAGAUUUUUUUAUGUCAUCUGCACUCUCUCCUCUUUCUUGUUUGACUCUCAUUUUGUCUUCUCAUUUUGAUGGGGCGGGGGCAGUGGAACAGCAGCCUGGAAACCCCUUCCUCUGGUCUGGGAAUGGUGGAAUGGUGGCUGGGAGGCCUCUUCCUCUGAGUGGUGGAACCUACAAACAAUUAUUCUUUAAAAUAUUUGCAAUGUGCAUUUGGUUGAAUCUAUAGAUGUGAACCCCAUAGAUAUGGAGGGCUGUGUGUGUGUGUGUGUGUGUGUGUGUGUGUGUGUGUAUUUUAACCCAGUAUUAGCCAACCUAACUCGGAAUGGAACACAGAGUUGAUAUUGUGUGAGGAAAGGGAGUCAUGCUUUAUAAACCUUCCUAUCUAUACCUGAUACUCUGCUCAGCCAUCUAGGUACUUACAAUGUAUUUCCCUAGAUGGAUGGAUGUGAUUUGAAAAAAAAGACCAGAAUGGAGGGAUAAAGGCAUACAGGUCCAGUGUAUCAGGGUUGCUAGUUGGCUGAUUUCGAUCUCCUAAUAAGUUUUAUUGUCUUAUCUUAGAGAUAGCCAAGCCAGUCACCACUGGUUAAUUCCCUUCUUUUUGCUGUGCCCUGACCAUCUCCAUAAUCUUCCAGGAUUCCCAGUGUUAGAAGAGCAUAUCCCAAAAAGUGAGCCAUUAUUCAAUCUAUUCUAGCAAUUCACUGUCAGUAUCUAUGCUUCCUUCAAAUGUUUUCUCCAACUAUCUAUGCUCCAUCACUCCAUUUCCUUGAUGCUAAGAUACACAGUGUUUCUUCUUUUUACAUUUCUGAACUUGGAAUCCAUGUGAAAUCAGGGGGUGGAUCACAAUGUGAUAGCCUGGUUUCUUCUAGUGGCCCACCAAACAUGAGCUAUCAGUAGUGUUUUAUGUUUGUUCCACCACUGAUUGUGGGAGCCCCGAGAACCCUAAAGCAGGAAUAGCAGCUAUAAUCACUCCCUUGGUAACCAGGGUGGGGCAGAGGCUCCUUUUCUAUCACUUGACAGAUCUUCCAGGCUCUGAAUUCUCUCUAACUGCCCUCGGCUCUGUCUCGGUGGCUGUGGCACAGUCCUUUUGCUUCCUUCCUGUGUUGUUUUCCUUAUCUGGGCUUUUGUUGGACUCCAACAAGGCUGCCUGUUCCUGAGUCCUGGCUUUGCCUCCAUCCUGUGCUACCUCUUGGCUUGGUGCUAUGUGAACUCUGCCAUGCAUGUGCGCACAGAUACCAGUGAGUCUCCUGGACUGUGUGACCCAGGGACUCAGCGGCCAUGUGCCACAGAGAGGCUUUCUGAGCGGGGACACGAACUCCCCUUUUGAUUUUUGUAACAUCAUCACUUUGCCCAGUCACUAUGAUGUAGUAUGGGCUCUAUAACUGUUUAGACAGUCAAAUAAUUCAAUUUUUUAAUUCACAUGCAACAUAUAGGUGCAGAACAUUAAGUCUUGCUUACUUUUUCUUUUCUUCAUGACAAGGAGGAGUUAUAAGACACCGCUAUUAUUUGCAGGGCCGAGUAUCCAGGCUGCAGGGCUCUCUGAGGCAUUCAUUUUUCCCCCAGAAGUUUCUGUCUUGUUUUCUGCCCCUCUGCCUGGGAGGGGAAGUGUUGGCAUUGUCGGGUAUGUGUGGGGUGGGCUGCACCAUACAUGACUUAUCUCUCUUUCUGCAUAGCUUUGUACCUGGCCAUGUACCUGGGACAGGGCCGGGUUUAUGGCUGAGCUUUGAGUCAGAGCCAGGUUGGGCUCCACAAGCUUUGGCCUUGCAGCCCAAUCUAUACCCUUGGGUUCUGCUACCUUAUCUGGGUUAAGUUCACUCCUGGCUUUGCUCCAACACUUUUGUAUAGGUUGUGGCUCUUAAUGUUCUUAACUUCCUGGGUGAGGGCAGCUCUCCACCCAUUAGGAUAAUUGCACUUUCCUGUGAAUGGAACACUUUCUUACUCCACUUUCUUACUCGCUGGAGGCAAAGGAGCCUAAGGGAGCAGAGUCCUGUUCCCCCACUUCCCAUAGCAGGCAGGACAGGCGGUGGAGUUAAUACCCUUCUCACAUAAUGACCUAAUUUGUUCACAAUGACUAUGGAUUAUUUUUCAUGAAUGUUCACUCUUACCCAGAUUUUGGUGUACUAGUUCAGAUCUCUCCUAGAAAAAAAAAAGAAAAAGAAAAAGCCAGCCAUUAUUUAUAGAGGGGGUGCUAGUCUUCAUUUGCUAUAGUUAGGGGCUGUGCUGGGAGCCAGAUUAUAACAUCCUAAAAUGGGGACAGUAAGGAAGUGCUUUUCAGUAGUGAGUUUAGCUGGCUUGUGGGGGUUUUUGUUUGUAUUUUGCAGUGCUAGGGAUUGAACCCAGGGCCUGGCACAUGCUAGGCGAAUGCUGAACCACUGAGCUAUAGUCCAGUCCCUAUGAAUUGAUUCUGAAAUGUUUAGAAAUUUUGCUAGCCACCUGGCCAUGGUAUUUACAUAGGGAAACUGUUGAAUACUAUAUCUGGGUCUCUCUUUCUCUGUCUCUGAGUCUCUGUCUCUGUCUCUGUCUCUCUCUCUGUCUCUCUUUCCCCCUACCUUCCUCUCUAUCUCCAAGAGAAGCCUAGAAUUAGAUGCCGUUUGUGCGUGCGUCACCAGAAUCAAGAACGAACAUCACGUUCAGGUGUGAAGAUUCCGGCCUGCUGCCAGGAAUGAUCGGCUAACACAGACUUACUUGUCCCUGGUGGAAGGAGGCCGCCUGGCCUAAAGAGGGGACUCCACCCUCUUCCCCUUCCUACCCCAGGGCACCGAAGCCACCCUCUGGGGUCAAAGUAAAAUUCCUGUGUUUCAGUCCUCAGCUGUUGGUGUUUGCACCCUCAGCAUUUUUCACAUUGCACUAAUUUAAGCCAAGCAGGCAAAUACUUGAGAAUAAAAUAAGCCAUCAUAGUGAAACCAGGGCAUUUUAGAUUUUUUUCCCGUGUGAUACAAGCCCUGUAAGUAUGCAUGGCAGAUAAAGAGUGGAAGGAAAAAGGGGUCUUUACUACCUCGCGCCCAUCACCCAUGCCCCGUGGACAAUGUCGCCACGGGAAGAAAGGGUGGUUCCUACUUUCUAGGUGGCCACCAUCAGGGAUUCUGUGCCCAGCUCAAAUUCCCCGGGCAGCCUGUCUUGCACAGGAGUGAGGGGGUUGGGAAUAAGGCUAAGGAGGGAACACCUAAGCAAAGACUGCAUGGCUGGGGUCCUGCAAAAACUGGAAGGCAGAGAGGACAGGAGGUUCCGCAGGAGUAAAAGGAAAUGGGGUGAGGAGCCAGGGCAGGGGAGGGGGCCUUGCGCCACCUGGGCAGCAGCAGCUCCACGGCCCUGGGAUUUUCUUUAAGACUCUCACCUCAGCAAGACAAUCGCCAAUCUGUGACCUUCCUGGGGACCCUCCAGGCACCCCCACUCACAGAUGCUUUUAUUUUAUAAGAGGUCUCAUCCACAAAUGAAUGGAUAAAGAUGUGGUGGAUAUGCACAGUGGAUAUCGCUCAGCCCUAGCAAGGAUGAAAUCCUAUCACCUGUGGCAGUGUGACUGGAACCAGAGGGCACCAUACCAAGGGACACGAGCCAGGCAUAGAAAGACACACACACUGCACGGCAUGACUCGCAGAUGUGACCUAACAAAGUUGACUUCAAAGAAGUAGAGAGUAGAGUGGUGUUAGCAGAGGUCAGGAAGGGAGGAUAAAAAGUAUAACAGGUACUGAAGCAGUGGAUGAAGGAGUAAGUCCUAACGUCCUACAGCACAGCAGACUGGCUGUAGUUCACAACUUAUGUGGUCUCCAAAGAACUAGGAGAAAUGAAUUCAAAGAAUAAGUGUUUAAUGCAAG